rnacentral:lncRNA from 1 species
AUGAACCACAAACAUAUCCUGUGCGAAUAUAAGAACAACAGCAUCACGGUUGAAUUUUCACAUUUACUAUAGUGCACUUGUAUAACAGCUGACUUUUUCAUAGAUCUAAAUCAAACAGAUUGCAGAAUCUAAAAGCCCUUACAAAAAUGUUUAAAAAGUUCAAGUUUGGGAGGAAGAAAAAAACAGUCAGGAAAACAGAUGAGCAGUAUCGUCUAGUGAAAGACAUACCAACACAGCACACAGAGACCACAGAUGCAGGAGAACAGGAAAGCACAGUCGACUCUGGGAUGCCAUCUUGUUCAGGUGUUGAAGUGAGUGGCGAGAAAGGGCUUCGUAUUCUCAGAACGAUUCUGAGCAAACAAUCAAACCCUGAGGACGCUGACACUGCAGCUGCAAUGCCACAAAUCAGCUUCUCUCAAGAAUGGCAAAAUAAGUACCGUCAGGAAAUAGAUCAGUUUGUGGAGAACCACUUUCCCACGCUGCCAGCAGAGAGACCUCAAGGAUCUCAGUUAGAGCAGAUACAGGACUUUCUAAAGAGCGCACAGACUAUGAUAUGCAAUGAGGUGCUUCGAUUAACACCUGCACUGAAAGAUGCUGGGCUGCUAGAUCAUCUGAUGGACAGUUACAGCCGUCACAUCUUUACCAACCUGGACCUGCUGCUAAACAGAGAUCUGUCUGUAAAAGAGAUCUUCUGCCUUCUACUGUGGGGAAAAGGUGUUUUCUUCAGUUCCGAAUCAAAACUGAGAGUGGACGAUCCUCUGCUGUUGACAAGAGUGUUUGAGAGAGCAAAGCAGAAACUACUGCAAGUACUUCAGGAUGACAUCUCCACGAAUCUACAGAACAUCCUGCGCUACGAUGAGGAUCAUGGACAAAAUGAGGACUCAAUGGAUGAAGAAACUUUCCUCAAAGUGCACAUAGAUGUCAUUCAGUGCCUGAAUUGUGCUAUUUUAGAAGCUGAAACGGUUGGUCUGACUUUGAUGCACGCCGUACAAAUACUCUGUAGUGAAGAGCUGCAUGAUUUUGUUCAGAAGUAUGUGGAUGCUGAGAAUGAUCGUCUUAAAAAACUAACAGUUAAAGAGAAAAACUCUGUGUAUCUGUUUCGGAUAAUCAACACCUGCAUGCAACUCAGAUGCUAUGCUGCACAAAUCACUCCAGAUGUUAGCAACAGCGAUCAUGACUCAAGCACUAUAUGCAUGCUACAAAAACAGGAAGAUAAAGCUUCAUCCAUUGUACAAAAGAUCAUGAACUGCUCAGCACAGGUCAAAUUAGAAAGUUACUUCAAGAAAAGGAAUGGGCAUAUUGAUAUCCUAAUGGAGGCAAUCCAAAAGCAGUGUGCAUCUCUGCCUGAGACCGCCUCAGAGAUCAAAGCGG